ACUGAGCCCUCUCGCUACGUAACGCCCUGCAUCAACUCAGGACUCUGCAGUUCCCAUCAGGAAGAAGACCCUCACCAGAUGCGGCCCCUUCAACCUUGGACUUCUUAGCCUCCAUAACUGGUUCUGGUUAAAGCCAAAAUUCCAGAAAAGACAAGUCAGCACUGCCCAUGGCAGGGAUACAGUGUGAAAGCAACUCAAAUAACACCUGUUUUUUGAAGAUGCCACAGGCAGAGUGUUGGAGCCAGAGGGCCAAGACACUGAGGAAGAAGAGCCAAGCUACUGCUAUAAAGAAGGAGUGUCCCCUUAUAAAUGAAGAACAAAGAAGAAGGAGAAUACAUUAUUAUCUACUUAUAAAUCACACAGAGACACAAAAAUAGUGAGGUAGUUAGUACGUAAAACAGGCCAUAUACUAGCUAGAAAGGCAAAGCCUACUAAAGAAAAAUAUUUGAAUAAAGGAAAUGGGAUACAGUG
rnacentral:lncRNA from 1 species